rnacentral:lncRNA from 1 species
CUUACUCACAUGCACCAGUACUCACUCAUGUUCACACUCAUGUUCACACUCAUGCCUAUUCACACUCACAGGUACUCAUCCACGUUCGCACUCAAGCCUACUCACACCCACAGGUACUCAUUGAUGUUCAUACUCACGUCCACUCUCAUUCAUCGGCACUCACUCACAUUCACACCUUUGAAAGGAGUGCAAGUGAGUGUGCCAACCUAUGCUGGCAAUAUACUUUUGUAAUAUG